rnacentral:lncRNA from 1 species
UUUCUAUUCUCUCUGUCAACACUCAACAGUUGUUUCUUAGCCUUCCCAAAUCGAAAAUCGUCUGAGUUUGCUCCACGAUUUCACCGAGUUCGCACUCUACUCUUCAACCGUUGACCGGUGUGCACCGUCGCCGGUACAAUUCGUCAUUGCAAUCGAGUAAUCCGUCAAGUGUAUUCUCAUAACAGGUUUUAUCACUCACACUUUGGGGAGAACUGAAAGCCAAGCACCUCACGCUUGAAAGUUUAUCGCAAGUGCAAGGGAAACUUCUGAUGGAGUGUAAGAAGUUGAUAUUGGCUCAACAAAAUGGGCUCCUUCUCAAGGUCUAAAAAUUGCUACAGAAUCUCAGGUUGCAUGGGCUAAUCACUUGAACCAAACAUAAAUGGAGAAAUCCUGAUUGGCUAACCAGUUGCAGUGCGCAAAUGCCAAAUCCCAAAUCUCAAGCUGCUGAUUCAUUGGUAAGAAGAUCACCGCUUGAUUCCAUAUCACCAAGGAAGCGAUUAGCUCUUACAAUAACACAGUUUGAAGCUAGACGACCAUUGGUGGGUGCAAAUGUAGAUGGAUGAACAUGUUCAGUUCAAGAGAGGAUUAUUAUCAAGGGAUGAUCCGAACAAGAUUUAUAAAAGUAUGUAAAAGGUUAAUGGCAUUUGUAUUGUCAUAGGUUUUACAUGCUUAAUGUUUAGUGUUAUUUAACUUUCCCGCCGCAACACGGAUGGACUUUCGUCUAUCGUU